UAGAUUAGAAAAGGAGGUUUGAGUUAGCCUCUGAAAAGCCUGAAAGUUCGGGUAGCUACAUCCCCAUUUGCUGAAGGUUCAUCUUACUAUAAGGGAGGGGAGUUCUACAGGGAUGUUAAAGAGUGGAAGGUUUCUUGCUCCCAGCCCAACCAGCCUGGGAUGGUUUUUAGUUUGUAGAAUUUUCCAUCUAACACAAUUUCCCAAUACACUGGAUCCUCAUACUCAACCAACACACUCCCUGUUGCUUUUAAUCCACAGGCCACAACAAAUCAUAAUCAUGCUUUUAAAAGCAAGAGGGUAAGUUUACCCAUAACCAUACCAAUAGGUAUAGAACAUAUGCCAGCACUGUCUUAUUUUCUACUUCUGAGGCUUUUCCUCUUUAAUUAUGAAUUUAUGACAGUUUAAUUGAUAACUAAAUUGCCUGGAAGUCUGAUAUCAAGAUAAGUAAGGUUUUAUUUUAAUCAUAAAAUAAUUCCUUUCAAAUUUACCAUCUGAAAAGCAUGCAGGUCUUAUCCCUUGGGAGCUAAUUAUGGUACCUUCAUGAUGAUGAGAAUGGCAGCUCAGCUUGACCCAGGAAACAGAUCAUGCCCUAGAAUUUUAUUUGAUAUUUGACAAAGUAAACACGUACUGGAGGGGAGAAUAUAACUGUAACCAAGAAAGGAGAUUUUACUAUGUUUGUGCAGUGGAGGACAUUGGAGAGCAGAGAAAGAAGAGGAAAAUGGAGGGAAGAAUUGAGAAAACAUUUUGGAAUGUUGUAUGCAUGGUCAAAAGAGGUCAAAAAUUAACCCAGAUGGUGCAUCAGAAUGGCAUUACCACUAGCUCUCUCAAGCCCUCCACCCCCACCCCCCCUUCAAACCCAAAUCUCUUCUCUUAAGAAUAAUGAAAAUGUUAUACUGAUGACAUGGAUGAAUACUAAUCCAUGUGAAAUAUCAAUUUUGUAAAGAUAAUUUAGAAAUAAAAAUUAUUCUAUCCAAAUUCCUCAUUCCUGUGGCUAGUCAAACUUUCCCUAGAUUUAAAUAAUAGCAAAGGAGAGAGCAAUAUUCAUAGUUGACUUUGUCAUUGUGGGAACACAAGCAACCUCAGCCUGAAGGAUGCUGAGACUUCAGAGGCAAGCAGGCAAAGAAAGGAGCAUAUGUUAGGACAAGCUGGCAUAAGAGAACUGGAGAGAAAUGUAAACCAGGCUACUUGUGGUUGUCUUUGCAAAGGCAUUUAGAUUUUAAGUCGUUUUUUAUUGCAGCUAGCAUCCAAUUACAGUGACGUGGCCAUGGGAGCUUAAGGACCAAGCACUGCCACUUUAUUUUUUUAUUGUUGCCUAUGUGUUA